ensembl:lncRNA
CUUAUAACCCCUGGCCUCAUUGACAGCGGAUGAGAGAAUCAUACCAGCAGGGGGCAGCGUCACACUCCUAUAUGGAUGUAUGACUGAUUCAGACGUACCUCAUCAUCCUCUACACCUGAGACGGUGCAAGGUGGAGCACUGUAGUACACUAUCAGGACUUCAGAAAGAGGUAUCAUUGCAGAGGAAGAAGAGGAGACCCAGUCAGUCUAUACAGAGGACAGUAACACCCACACAAUUGAGAAAAGAGUUUUCAACAAGGCUUUCAUCACACAGCAGCCUAACUGACCUCAGAUUUUCAGAGGGGAGACCAGCAAUUCAGGACACCUUAACCUUAGAAGGAAGCAGCAUGAGCCAGAGGAGGGCGCUGUUUACACUGAUGUGAAGAUGGAGACUAAAAUGUGGAGGUGCACAGCAUGGAAAUUUUCCACCUGAGCGUGGCUGCUUGAGGGGGCGUAGGUGCUAAAAUGACGUAAUUUGUCCACCUGGAGCCGCACGGACCUUGCGGCCGCG